UAAAAGAAGACAGAUAAUGGAUUUACCUAUUCCGAUUUUGCAGAUUAAGAAUGACAGUUCAGAUCUGCCAGACAUUCCUGUAACGGACACAGAUGAAGGCAAAUGUACAGAUGAGAAUAAGAGAGAUGAUGAUGAUGAGAUUAUGAAAGAAUUUGAGGAGAUGAUGCAACAGAGGCAGGAAAGGCAGUUGUUCGCACAGAGUUCAUUCC